GAUGAACGCUGGCGGCGUGCCUAACACAUGCAAGUCGAGCGUGAACCGUCUGAAUGAAACUUCGGUCGAGUGAGGAUGGGGAAAGCGGCGGACGGGUGAGUAACGCGUAGGCAACCUGCCCCGUACAGAGGGAUAGCCUCGGGAAACCGGGAUUAAGACCUCAUAAUACCAUUAUCUCACAUGUGAUAAUGGUCAAAGAUUUUAUCGGUAUGGGAUGGGCCUGCGUCUGAUUAGCUGGUUGGUGGGGUAACGGCUCACCAAGGCGACGAUCAGUAGCCGACCUGAGAGGGUAAUCGGCCACAUUGGAACUGAGACACGGUCCAAACUCCUACGGGAGGCAGCAGUGGGGAAUAUUGCACAAUGGGGGAAACCCUGAUGCAGCAACGCCGCGUGGAGGAAGAAGGUUUUCGGAUUGUAAACUCCUGUCUUUUGGGACGAUAAUGACGGUACCAAAAGAGGAAGCCACGGCUAACUACGUG
rnacentral:rRNA from 1 species